AGUGAACGCUGGCGGCAGGCCUAAUACAUGCAAGUCGAACGGCAGCACAGUGGAGCUUGCUCCAUGGGUGGCGAGUGGCGGACGGGUGAGGAAUACAUGGGAAUCUGCCCAGUCGUGGGGAUAACGUAUGGAAACGUACGCUAAUACCGCAUGCGCCCUUCGGGGAAAGGUCGGGGACCGCAAGGCCUGACGCGAUUGGAUGAGCCCAUGUUCGAUUAGCUAGUUGGCGGGGUAACGGCCCACCAAGGCGACGAUCGAUAGCUGGUCUGAGAGGAUGAUCAGCCACACUGGAACUGAGACACGGUCCAGACUCCUACGGGAGGCAGCAGUAGGGAAUAUUGGACAAUGGGCGCAAGCCUGAUCCAGCCAUGCCGCGUGAAGUGAAGAAGGCCCUCCGGGUUGUAAAAGCUCUUUUGUUUGGGGAAGAAAAAGACAGUUGGUUAAAUACCCGAUUGUUCUGACGGUAACCCAAAGAAUAAAGCACCGGCU
rnacentral:rRNA from 1 species